AAAAAUAAUUGUAUGGAGCUUUUGGUAAAGGUUGUUGAGCAGAUUCCUUUGGAUGCCAAUUAUAUUUUGCCACAAUGUCCAUUUAUUAGCUGAAAGCGACUAUUUUGUUGGCUUUCGAGAUGAUUUGCAGUGCGACUGCUGAUUAGUGCAACUUGCAAAUAAGGUGAACAGAGUCCAGCACCGGCGGGGAGGGAGAAUAUGGGCCUGCUCACCCACAGAGUGGAGAGAAGUGAAAUCAAGCCAGGGGAUCACAUCUACACUUAUAGAGCUGUAUUCACUUACUCUCACCAUGGUAUCUUUGUUGGCGGAAACAAGGUGGUCCAUUUUACACCCAGGCAGAAUAUAAAUUCAAGCUCUGAUACAUCUUCCGAUUUCUAUGAUUCAAUGACUAGCAUUCCCUCAUCCUGUAAUAUUCCUGACUGUGGAUUCAGGCAACCCAAUAGUGGGGUAGCCC
rnacentral:misc_RNA from 1 species